GGGUGCAAGCGUUGUUCGGAAUUAUUGGGCGUAAAGCGCGCGUAGGCGGCUUUGCAAGUCGGGCGUGAAACCCUCAGGCUCAACCUGGGGACGCCACCCGAUACUGCUGUGGCUAGAGUCCAGUAGGGGAGUGUGGAAUUCCCGGUGUAGCGGUGAAAUGCGCAGAUAUCAGGAGGAACACCAAUGGCGAAGGCAGCACUCUGGGACGGUACUGACGCUGAGACGCGAAAGCGUGGGGAGCAAACAGG
rnacentral:rRNA from 1 species